GGACUAUUAAAUCGGACAAAAUAAAAACAAACAAGAAAAAGACAAGCAACGCCUUCAACAAACGUGAUGGGUCCACUAAAAAUUAACCAACGGUUGGUUACUAGCAAAAUCCAUUCAUCUGGGAUUCGACCGUCUUCGAUAAUUAUUCAGAAAUGCUGGCAUAUUUAUAAGGAAAUCUUCUAAAGAAACGACGAGAUUCAGUUGGUUAGGAUUACGCCUUUUGGCACAGCAAUGCGUCUCUACACCUCAAGAGAAAAACAACAGACCUGAUGUUUUUUUCCAAGCUUGCACCAUUGCUCUUAUGCUGGAGGGAGGAUGCUUGUGUUUUCUGAGCAGUCUGGAGUAGAUGUUGCUGAAUCAAGGGAUUGCGGAGAUGCACUCUCUCCCGCUCCUGAGUCCUGAUGGCUCUGUUUAUAAAACCCUGUUGAAGGGAACAGGGCUCCUCUCAACCCUUCUCGAUAAAUUGAAGGCGCAGGAACUUGCGUAACAUUCAUGCACACUUAGAGAAUCCCAUUGCUCGGAUCUGUUACUGCUGUAGAGACCAGGCUAAUCUCUCAACACUCGGAUAUUUCAAAGCCACGCCGAGCCUGCUUCUGUGCAUUCAGAAAAUGAUCGGCGCCAGCUAGCUAUGUCGGAAAUGGGGCUCUGUGAUCAUUUACAUCGGAAAUUUGAGCCGGACGCUCGCUGCCUUCGUGUCAAUUAGAAGGGAGGGUCCAAUAAACGCAAGAUGUUAUUUAUUGAAAUACUGGAGAUACGAUCGCCAAAUGAUACAAUUGGUGUUGAAAACGGCAGGUUGCACUUGUACUACAGAACACAUGGUCUGAAGUCGAUAAUUGUCCCUUCUGGUUGGCAGAACUCAUAUACUGUAGGUCUAGUGUCAGAUGCGAGAUUAUGAGUCCACGAAUUAUUAGAAGACGCUGGAAGAUGCUGGUGAAUGCCAC